rnacentral:lncRNA from 1 species
CAAAAGUCUCUUUAUUUCCUAUUUCACGUGUUUUUUCAUUGAUUUUUGCCUGAAAACCAAAAAGGUUUUCUUUUCUUAUAGCUUUUGACGUAAAAUUGCAAAAAAAUUCAUGCCACCUACCGGCAAAUUGAUCUCUUUUCUUGCCCUAUCAAACUCAAAGGGAUGCUGCGGGCUUGGAUGCCUCCGCUCUAGCUGGCUCUGUUCCUGUAUCUCCCACCCAGGUUGCUCUCGUCUCUACCAUCGGACGCAGUUAUGGGUGCAUUUGACCAAGAUGGAGAUCCAGAUUCUACGGUUGAUUAUGCAAAAGGUGAUUCAGUAUAUUGGAUAGAUGCAGCAGUUGGAGCAGCAGGAAAGGCAUAGUAAAUUAAUGUUAUAGCAUGUUGGUUCAUGCGUUAUCCAGGUAGGGUUCCAUUCACCUGGGUGGUAAACUGGCUCUACUGAGGCUGACUAUGGAGCUAUAUCUUCAUCGAUUGGCUUUGGAUCAAGUGCAUCCGGA